AUUCAAUAGCCCAAGCAAAAUUUGUCAAACUCACUGCUGACAAAUAAAUUGAACUUAAGAUUCUUCGGAUUCGAUAUUUAAAUGAUUUAUAUGUGUCCUACUUAUCGGUGGUGGUCGGUGUUCAACUUUGUUGGCUGCACGGUGUUUGGGGGAUAUAAUUCCAACGAUGUUGCUGUUGUUGUGUGAAUUCCCACGAAGUACUUUCCUUUAAAUUUUCCGGCUCGAAGGAUCAAAAUGUCGAGUUAUAUCGACGUUGGGGCCGAUGUUGCGUUAAAGAAAAGUUAGUGGUUUCGAUUUUCAAAUUUACAAAAAUUCAGUGUAUAUUCAAUAUGAUUUUGAGUUAUGUGUACAUCAAAUAUAUAUGAGUUUGGGUGUGAUUUUACAAUA